rnacentral:lncRNA from 1 species
GUGGGGGCCAGUGCCCUCGGAGGAGGAGAGGUGGCUGUUGUCCAGCAGACCAGCAGGGAUCCCCACAGCCACGAUCCCAGGCCCAGGAUGGUGCAGGGUGGUGGGCUGUCGGCAGGCUGCCAAGACCGAGUGCACAGGGCUCUGACCUAUGAAUUGACAGCCAGUGCUCUCAUCUCCCCUCUGGCUGCCAAUUCCAUAGGUCACAGGUAUGUUCGCCUCAAUGCCAGCCUCCAGGACCUGCGGGGGUUGGGGGGGGGAGCAGGACAGGAGUGUCAAGAGGGCAACGAAGACUCGCCGUCUCAGUGCAGCGAUCAAGGCCCAGCCCCCUUCUCCCAUUUCCACUUUUCCAUCUCCUUUCUCCUGAGCGCGAACUGCUUUCGGUCCCCACCGAUACUGACUGUGCUUUGUCCAGGCUGUUCCCUCUGCCUGGAACACCCUUCCCUGCUUUUUUGCCAGGCUCACUUUUUUUUUUUCCUUUUUAGGGCCACAGAACAUGAAGGUUCCCAGUCUAGGGGUCAAAUCCAGGCUCGGCUACAGCUCCGAUUCGACCCCUAGCCUGGGAACCUCCGUAUGCCGCGGGAAGCGGCCCUAGAAAAAAGC